rnacentral:rRNA from 1 species
GAGUAACCUGCCCUUGACUUCGGGAUAACUCCGGGAGACCGGGGCUAAUACCGGAUAUGAGCCGUCCUCGCAUGGGGGUGGUUGGAAAGUUUUUCGGUCAGGGAUGGGCUCGCGGCCUAUCAGCUUGUUGGUGGGGUGAUGGCCUACCAAGGCGACGACGGGUAGCCGGCCUGAGAGGGCGACCGGCCACACUGGGACUGAGACACGGCCCAGACUCCUACGGGAGGCAGCAGUGGGGAAUAUUGCACAAUGGGCGCAAGCCUGAUGCAGCGACGCCGCGUGAGGGAUGAAGGCCUUCGGGUUGUAAACCUCUUUCAGCAGGGAAGAAGCGCAAGUGACGGUACCUGCAGAAGAAGCGCCGGCUAACUACGUGCCAGCAGCCGCGGUAAUACGUAGGGCGCAAGCGUUGUCCGGAAUUAUUGGGCGUAAAGAGCUCGUAGGCGGUCUGUCGCGUCUGGUGUGAAAACUCGAGGCUCAACCUCGAGCUUGCAUCGGGUACGGGCAGACUAGAGUGCGGUAGGGGAGACUGGAAUUCCUGGUGUAGCGGUGGAAUGCGCAGAUAUCAGGAGGAACACCGAUGGCGAAGGCAGGUCUCUGGGCCGCAACUGACGCUGAGGAGCGAAAGCAUGGGGAGCGAACAGGAUUAGAUACCCUGGUAGUCCAUGCCGUAAACGUUGGGCACUAGGUGUGGGGCUCAUUCCACGAGUUCCGUGCCGCAGCAAACGCAUUAAGUGCCCCGCCUGGGGAGUACGGCCGCAAGGCUAAAACUCAAAGGAAUUGACGGGGGCCCGCACAAGCGGCGGAGCAUGCGGAUUAAUUCGAUUGCACGCGAAGAACCUUACUAAGGCUUGACAUGCACGGGAAGCCACCAGAGAUGGUGGUCUCUUUGACACCUCGUGCACAGGUGGUGCAUGUUUGUCGUCAGCUCGGUGUCGUGAAGAUGUUGGGUAAGUCCCGCAACGAGAGCCGCAACCCCUCGUCCCAUGUUGCAGCCGGUUUAUGCCGGGCACUCAUGGCAGAAUGCUCGCGUUCUACCUCGG